AGGACGAACGCUGGCGGCGUGCUUAACACAUGCAAGUCGAGCGGAAAGGCCACUUCGGUGGUACUCGAGCGGCGAACGGGUGAGUAACACGUGAGUAAUCUGCCCCCCACUUUGGGAUAGCCACCGGAAACGGUGAUUAAUACCGGAUAUGACCUCGCACCGCAUGGUGUGUGGUGGAAAGUUUUUCGGUGGGGGAUGUGCUCGCGGCCUAUCAGCUUGAUGGUGGGGUAAUGGCCUACCAUGGCUUCGACGGGUAGCCGGCCUGAGAGGGUGACCGGCCACGACUGGGACUGAGACACGGCCCAGACUCCUACGGGAGCAGCAGUGGGGAAUAUGGACAAUGGGCGAAGCUGAUCCAGCAACGCCGCGUGAGGGAUGACGGCCUUCGGGUUGUAAACCUCUUUCAGCAACAGACGAAGCGAAAGUGACGGUAUGUGCAAGAAGAAGCACCGACCAACUACGUGCCAGCAGCCGAC
rnacentral:rRNA from 1 species